rnacentral:rRNA from 1 species
GGCUUUUUGAUAAUAAUUUAAGGUCUGACCUGCCCAAUGAUGGAUAUUGAAUGGCCGCGGUAUUUUGACUGUGCAAAGGUAGCAUAAUCACUAGUUUCUUAAUUAGGAGCUUGAAUGAAAGGUUUGAUGAAAAAAGAGUUGUCUCUGUCUUAGUUUUUUAGAAAUUUAUUUUUAAGUUAAAAAGCUUAAAUUUGUAUCAAAGACGAGAAGACCCUAUAGAGUUUUAUAUUUUAUGUAAUUAUUAUGUUUUAGGAUUUUUUAGUAGUUUGGUAAAUUAUUUGAUUGGGGUGAUUUAAAAAUUAACAAAACUUUUUAUAGUAAAUAUCAUUUAUUUAUGAGUUUUUGAUCCUUACUUGAAGAUUAACAGAUAAAAUUACCUUAGGGAUAACAGCGUAAUUUUUCUUAGAGUUCUUAUCAAAAGAAAAGAUUGCGACCUCGAUGUUGGAUUAAAAUUAAUUAUUGGUGUAGAAGCUAGUAUAUUUAGGUCUGUUCGACCUUUAAAUUUUUACAUGAUCUGAGUUUAAACCGGUGUGAG